UACGUGGGGGGCAAGCGUUGUCCGGAUUUAUUGGGCGUAAAGAGCGUGUAGGCGGCUAGGUAGGUCCGUUGUGAAAACUCGAGCUCAACCUCGAGACGCCGGUGGAAACCAUCUAGCUAGAGUCCGGAAGAGGAGAGUGGAAUUCCUGGUGUAGCGGUGAAAUGCGCAGAUAUCAGGAAGAACACCCGUGGCGAAGGCGGCUCUCUGGGACGUGACUGACGCUGAGACGCGAAAGCGUGGGGAGCGAACAGG
rnacentral:rRNA from 1 species